rnacentral:lncRNA from 1 species
UUAAAUAUAUUGUAGAAUAGAAAAUAGAAAAACCGGCGGGCGUGUUUGGAUCGAAGUCAGAGUCGAAAUCAAAAUAAGCUGAAAUCGGAAUCGGAAUGACUCAUUACCUAAUUUUGUUUGACCUGAAUUGGAAUUGGAAUAAAUCAUUCUCAUUGCCGGUGUUUGGUUCAGGUAGAUAUAAAAAACGUAAUCAAACUAAUAUACUAACAUUAUUUUUAUAAUAUAUUAAUUUAAAUUCAAAUUAUAAAUUAAAUAUUAAAAAUUUACAUCAAGAUUUUGAAAUAAUGUCAAAAUUUUAAAUCUAUUUUUUUAAAAAAAAUAAACUUUGAAGUUGAGUGGAUAAUUCAAAAUAUGAAACUAAAUUUUGAUUUAUUCAAAUUCAAACUUAAAAUUACAAUCUAAAGUUUAAUUUGAAUCCAUAUAUUUAAUUUAAGUUUGAAAUAAAAUUUGAAUAAAUUUUAUAUAAAUUAACAUUUAAUUUAAAUUCAAAUUCAUAAGUUAGAUUCAAAAUACUUGAUUAAAUUUUAAUUUUUAAUUUAACUUCAAAUUAAAAUUUAAAAUUAUAUAUUUAAUUUUUAAAUUUUAAAUCAUAUUUUAAUUAAAAAAAUUUUAAAAAAAAUAAAUUUAAUUUGAAUAAAUAUCCAUUCCGUCCGGAUUGGGCUUCUAGGCUGGAUUGAAAAGAGAGGUGAUUAGGGUAUUCGCAUUCCACUCGGGAAUCGGAAUUGGAAUGAGACUCCUGCGUACCAAACACCCACAAAACGGAUUCACCCAUUCCGAUUCUGAUUCCAUAGUGAAAAAGAAGCGAACCAAACACGCCCACCAGCUUCACCAUCUAUCAAUCUAAAUAUUAUUACUGGAGUAAUAAUAUUAAGGGAAAACUUCAAAAACCCCCUCAUGGUUUCGCACUUUCUCACUUUAGUAUUCUGUGAUUAAAGUAUAUCAAUUUGCCUUACUGUAGUUUUGUUUUUAUCUUUUCGACAAUUUUUUCCUUAAUUUUUCGUUAAAUUAUAUAUAAAAAAAAACUUUAGAUACCCAUCUAGAUUUAUUGAAUAUUUACUUUAGUACCCUUUAAUUUUAAUUUUGUCAGUGAUUUAAUAAAAAAUAAUAAAAAAAUCGAUAAUAAAAAGAGAAAAACGAAACCACAGUGUCACGCCCGGGUACCAACGGAAGCAUAUCCGGUACGUGCACAGAUCCGCCAUAUACCUACAGUAUAUAAGGUGUAACAUACCAGAUUUUGGUAUAAAAAUAAAAAUAAAUAAAAAUAGUGUGAGAUACUAUUUUUAUUAGAUUUAGAGAGGUAAAAUAUAAAUCAAAAGUGACUUGUGCUGAAAUCGGAAUGAAAACAGAAGAUUUAAAAUUUUCUGUUGGAAACGGGACAGAUAAAUUAGCAGAAAAUGCACAGUUUCAGAAAAUUAUGAAAAUUGGAGAACAAGUCAGAAAUAUUUUUAUGAGGCUAGAUUUAAAGUUUCAUAUUAUUCUGACACCCGGAAGGUAAAAAAUAAAAUCCGACAAUUAUCUGAUAAAGAUUACAGUUCGGUACAAUUUUCGGUGACCAAACGGGGUCGAAACUGAAAACUUAAGAUAUAUUCUUACUCAGUACGUUAAACCGAGCCUCUCUGUCAAGUUUGAGCUCAAACAGACAUUCAGAAGGGCUCCGGCGAAAAACGUCAGUUUGUAUCUGCUAAACUGAUGUGAAUAGUGCAUUGUUGAUAGGGCUUUGUGUAAAA